GGAUGUGAAGGUGAUAUGGCUACUAUAUCUGUCACCCCACUGACCACCAGGGUUGAUCUGGCUGACCUGGAUAGCUAAGCAAGUGUCUCCUUCCUGCCUCAACACUCCAUGUGCAUCUCUCCCAAAGCUCACAUUAGGUAGAAGGGGACAGCCGUACCCAAUGGAGGAGGAGUGUUUCUCAGUCCAAAGUAUACGAGUAGCUGCACUUCCACGCUAGAACCUUCAAACAAAAAAAACUCUCAAGAAAUAUGUCGCUUCAGAAUAUUAUUCUCAAAGAGUAUCUUCAAAUUUAAACAUAUUUUUGUAUUU
rnacentral:snRNA from 1 species